CUGCUCGCUUUGGCAGCACAUAUACUACAAUUGGAAAGAUACAGAGAAGAUUAGCCUGGCCCCUGCAGAAGGAUGACACGCAAAUUCGUAAAGCAUUCCAUAUAUUU